CCCUUAGAUGUCCUGGGCUGCACGCGCGCUACACUGAUGCGUCCAAUAAGCACCUAACCUAAUCCGAAGGGACCGGGUAACCUUAGCAAAGCGCAUCGUGAUGGGGAUAGAUUAUUGCAAUUAUUAGUCUUGAACGAGGAAUUCCUAGUAAGCGUGAGUCAUCAGCUCGCGUUGAUUACGUCCCUGCCCUUUGUACACACCGCCCGUCGCUACUACCGAUUGAAUGGCUUAGUGAGCCUUUGGGAUUGGCAGCCAACACCGGCAACGGUAGCUGGCCGCCGAAAACUUAUGCAAACUUGGUCAUUUAGAGGAAGUAAAAGUCGUAACA
rnacentral:rRNA from 1 species